rnacentral:tRNA from 1 species
GAGGUUAUAGCUCAGUGGUAGAGUGCCUGCUUAGCAUGCAGGAGGUCCUGGGUUUAAUCCCUGGUACUUCCA